UUCUAGUUGAAUGACGUUAGGGCUGGAGGUGCUACGAUUUUCCCUAGAAUCAACACAAGAAUACCGAUAACAAAGGGAUCUGCUGCUUUUUGGUAUAAUAUUCUUCCAAAUGGAGAGGUAGAUGAACGUGUUUUUCAUGGAGGAUGUCCUGUGUUAUUAGGAUCAAAAUGGAUUUGUACCAAGUGGAUCCGUGAAGAAGGGCAAAUGUUCAGACGCCCAUGCAAACUGCACUUCAAUGCGACACUACAUUAGAAAAUAUUUAAAACGUACAUUUGAUGCCUUCUUAUCUUCAAUAGUUUUAUAAUCUAUGGUGAUUUUAAAUAAUACAGAAUAAAGAAAUAAAAAAUCUUGUUCUAUGGAACUUUAGAUCUAAAAAUUGAAUAAAAUACCAUACUUUUUUCGAUGGUUUUUAAAGGCAGUGACUUAAAUGGUAUGAGGCAAUGGCCAUUUCGUUUUUACGUGGUGGCAAAUACAUCAUCAUAGAAAUUUCGAAAAGUUGAUUCUUUUUAUUUGUGAUAUUGUGUGGUAUUUAUUUUUGUAAUUCCUUAAAACUUGGCAUUAAA